AGAAAUCUCACCAGGCCCGGACACUGGAAGGAUUGACAGAUUGAUAGCUCUUCCUUGAUUCGGUGGGUGGUGGUGCAUGGCCGUUCUUAGUUGGUUGAGUGAUUUGUCUUGUUAAUUCCGAUAACGAACGAGACCCCAACCUGCUAACUAGCCCUCGGGUCCUGCUUCUGUUGGGCCCGACGGAAUGAUUCGCUUCUUAGAGGGACUCGCGGCGCCUAGCCGCACGAAGGGGGGCGAUAA
rnacentral:rRNA from 1 species